GCUGGGCGCAGUGGUGCGUACCUGUGGUCCCAGCUACUCAGGAGGCUGAGACUGGAGGACCUCUUGAGCCCAAGAGUUCCGGGCUAUAGUGCGCUAUGCCAAUUGGGUGUCCGCACUAAGUUCAGCAUCAAUAUAUGGUACCUCCCAGGAGCAGGGCCCACCAGGUUGCCUAAGGAGGGGUAAACCAGCCCAGGUUGGAAACGGAGCAGGUCAAAACUCUCAUGCUGAUCAGCAGUGGUAUCACACCUGUGAAUAGCCACUGCACUCCAGCCUGGGUGACAUAGUGCGACCCUGUCCUU
rnacentral:SRP_RNA from 1 species